rnacentral:rRNA from 1 species
GACGAACGCUGGCGGCGUGCUUAACACAUGCAAGUCGAGCGGUAGGGCCCUUUCGGGGGUACACGAGCGGCGAACGGGUGAGUAACACGUGGGUGACCUGCCCUUAGCUCUGGGAUAAGCCUGGGAAACUGGGUCUAAUACCGGAUAUGACUCCAUAACGCAUGUUGUGGGGNGGAAAGCCUUGUGCGGCUAGGGAUGGGCCCGCGGCCUAUCAGCUUGUUGGUGGGGUGAUGGCCCACCAAGGCGACGACGGGUAGCCGGCCUGAGAGGGCGACCGGCCACACUGGGACUGAGACACGGCCCAGACUCCUACGGGAGGCAGCAGUGGGGAAUCUUGCGCAAUGGGCGAAAGCCUGACGCAGCGACGCCGCGUGGGGA